GGGCCCAUAGCUCAGUUGGUCAGAGCACCCGGCUCAUACCCGGUGUGUCCCAGGUUCGAGUCCUGGUGGGCCCA
rnacentral:tRNA from 1 species